UGGCGGAUCUGUUUGAUCCGCUGGCCUCCCUUACCAAUGAUAGAGCCAGCCAGCUGUUGAUGGGGUAGAGAGAGGAGAAUGAGAGGGGUCGGGAGGAAAGAAAAACAAGCUUUGUAUGUUGUGUUGCAGUCAUUUACUCACAUCCUUUGGGAUCGUCACUUGUGUGGUGAUGACGGGUCCUCCCAUGUCAUUAUAGGAGCCACGUCCACCUGAUGGCAAGAGGGAGAGGGGAAGACCAAGGCAGACAAACAGGGAAAGAAGAGGUGUAGAAACGGAGGGAAAAUCCCAGAUGACUGGCCGGAGAAUUGUCAGCACAAAUAUAUGGAUGAUGCAGCAGCCUCUUCCAUGGAGUAGACUCAACUAAAAGCCACCCAGUUUUCAUCCAUAAGCCAGACUCCUCCUCCUUCCCUCCCCCCUUCC